rnacentral:tRNA from 1 species
UCGCCGAAGAAGACGAUGCAGUCAAAAACGCGGCUCAACAUUGCGUACGCUCACCA